rnacentral:rRNA from 1 species
AUUGAACGCUGGCGGCAUGCCUUACACAUGCAAGUCGAACGGUAACAGGUCUUCGGAUGCUGACGAGUGGCGAACGGGUGAGUAAUACAUCGGAACGUGCCCGAUCGUGGGGGAUAACGAAGCGAAAGCUUUGCUAAUACCGCAUAAGAUCUACGGAUGAAAGCAGGGGACCGCAAGGCCUUGCGCGAACGGAGCGGCCGAUGGCAGAUUAGGUAGUUGGUGGGAUAAAAGCUUACCAAGCCGACGAUCUGUAGCUGGUCUGAGAGGACGACCAGCCACACUGGGACGGAGACACGGCCCAGACGCCUACGGUAGGCAGCAGUUGGGAAUUUUGGGAAAUGGGCGAAAGCCUGAUUCAGCCAGGCCGCGUGCAGGAUGAAGGCCUUCGGGUUGUAAACUGCUUUUGUACGGAACGAAAAGACACUUUCUAAUAAAGAGGGUCCAUGACGGUACCGUAAGAAUAAGCACCGGCUAACUUCGUGCCAGCCGCCGCCGUAA